AUUGAACGCUGGCGGCAGGCCUAACACAUGCAAGUCGAACGAGUGGCGGACGGGUGAGUAAUGUCUGGGAAACUGCCUGAUGGAGGGGGAUAACUACUGGAAACGGUAGCUAAUACCGCAUACCAUCGGAUGUGCCCAGAUGGGAUUAGCUAGUAGGUGGGGUAAUGGCUCACCUAGGCGACGAUCCCUAGCUGGUCUGAGAGGAUGACCAGCCACACUGGAACUGAGACACGGUCCAGACGCCGACGGGAGGCAGCAUUGGGUAAUAUUGCACAAUGUGCGCAAGCCUGAUGCAGCCAUGCCGCGUGUAUGAAGAAGGCCUUCUGGUUGUAAAGUACUUUCAGCGAGGAGGCGUUACCCGCAGAAGAAGCACCGGCUAACUCAGUGCCAGCAGCCGCGGUAAUAC
rnacentral:rRNA from 1 species